rnacentral:lncRNA from 1 species
CCACUGUACAGCAAGGGGGUCAGGUUAUCCUUACAUGUAUACAUUGCAAUUACAGUUUUUCCCCCACCCUUUCUUCUGUUGCAACAUGAGUAUCUAGACAUAGUUCUCAAUGCUAUUCAGUAGGAUCUCCUUGUAAAUCUAUUCUAGGUUGUGUCUGAUAAGCCCAAAUGUUUCUAAAAACUAUAUUUUAAAACUUAGCACCAUCACACAGCAGGAAGGACUAGACAGCAGUGGCAUCAGAGCAGAGAGGUUGGGGGGACAACUCCAGGCAUGGUUGAGCCACCACCUGGGAAAGGGCCAGGUUUCAGCCACUUCCUUUGGCCAGUGUCCUGCCAGUAAAGGUGCUGAUGGGAUGAAAUGCUCCCACCCAGGGCUCGCUAAUAGCAGCUGAUUCUCUGCUUAUCUGAGGCUGCCUCUCAGUGAACCAUUUAUUGAGAUAGGAAUUGUUAAUUAUCUUUUCCCAAUGAUUUAAGUCCAGUCUCAGCUUUAAUCACAGCCGAGUGGCCAGAAAAGAAACAGCAGAUCUCAAGGUCCAUGCUCUCAGCCAGGCCUGUAAAUCAACAGAGUAGAGAUUUUAGGUCUCCUGGACCGUAUGUUCUCUGCCAAAACUACUCGAGCCUGAAUGACAGUGCAGAGGCAGCCACAGAUAGUCCAUCAACAAAGGAGUGUGGCUGUGUUCCCACCUUAUUCACAGUGUUCCAACCUUAUUCACAAAGACUGACGGCAGGCUGGACUGGUCCCUCAGGCCUCACUUGGCCAACUCCUACUCUAAGUUUUCAACAUUUAAACACUGCAUCAGGUCCCUUCAUUUGGCAAAUAUCUAAUGACCACCUACCAGAUGCCAACCAAUGUUCUAGGCUUUGGAGAUACAAUUGGGAACAGAAUGAACAGGGGUCACUGACUUUCUAGAACUUAUCUUUACAUAGAGAAAGCAUAUAAUGAGUAAAUAAAUAGAGCUAUUCAUAUAUAUAAUGUCAAGAAAUCAUAACUGCUAUCAAAGGACAGAAAGUUUUGCCAUAAAUCACACAAGCUGCUAAGUGACCUCAUUCUUAAUAACUAUCCAGAGCAGAACAUGAUAAUUGAGGUUCAAUUCUUUAAUAGUUUUAGGUAGGCUUAGGCUGAGCACAGUUGUAUUCCAACACAAAUAAACAAAUUUCCACUAAUUCAUGCACACACCCUGGCAAAAGUAAAAUGUAGGUUCUCCCUUCCUGCCCUUAGUGGUUUCCAACUUCUACUCCAUUACCUUAACUGACACCUUGCACAUAACAUAGCCUGAUGUAUCUAACGGAGGUUUCUUCCUGGCAGUGGAUCUUAAAUUAGUACUCAUGAAUCACACUGGUAACUUGGGCCUGUGCCAGAUCCGCCCUAACUAUUUGUAAAUCUGUUAAAACAGUAGCUACAACUUAUGGCUAAAUUGCUUCCUC